rnacentral:rRNA from 1 species
GACGAACGCUGGCGGCGUGCCUAAUACAUGCAAGUAGAACGCUGAAGGAGGAGCUUGCUCUUCUGGAUGAGUUGCGAACGGGUGAGUAACGCGUAGGUAACCUGCCUGGUAGCGGGGGAUAACUAUUGGAAACGAUAGCUAAUACCGCAUAACAGUAGAUGUUGCAUGACAUUUACUUAAAAGGUGCAAUUGCAUCACUACCAGAUGAACCUGCGUUGUAUUAGCUAGUUGGUGGGGUAACGGCUCACCAAGGCGACGAUACAUAGCCGACCUGAGAGGGUGAUCGGCCACACUGGGACUGAGACACGGCCCAGACUCCUACGGGAGGCAGCAGUAGGGAAUCUUCGGCAAUGGACGGAAGUCUGACCGAGCAACGCCGCGUGAGUGAAGAAGGUUUUCGGAUCGUAAAGCUCUGUUGUGAGAGAAGAACGAGUGUGAGAGUGGAAAGUUCACACUGUGACGGUAUCUUACCAGAAAGGGACGGCUAACUACGUG